rfam:Hypsibius dujardini strain Z151 scaffold0005, whole genome shotgun sequence.
GCCUGUAUAGCUCAGUGGUAGAGCACCAGUCUUGUAAACUGGGGGUCCAGUGUUCGAUCCACUGUUCAGGCU